CAAGACAAGAUCAUUGGAUCAAUGCUAUCUGCCAAUAGCUCCAUUCUCCAGGUUUCUUCUUUCCAGAGUGCUUCCUCCCUCAAGCUGGUGAAAGGGAAAGCCAGGCUUCCCCAAAUCCACAUCAUGUAGAUUGCAUUGGGGUUGACUACUCUCCCUUGUGGAUCCAAAACCACAAGCAAGGGCCUCUUGUUGAAGUGCCACACCUCUUUGAUGUACCUGAUGACUGCAACAUCGAGCAAUGAAGGGUGAUAGACAGAGUACCAUGGCAUCAUCCUCUGAAAAUCCUCAAACUGCUUUUGCUUUGUUUCAUUCCAUGAUCUGUCCACAACUGGGAGCCAUACAACCUCAUACUGGCUCUCUGGUCUUCCUGGUUGCUCCCGCGCCUCACUGUACAUUUGUUGCAGCAUUGAAAGCUCUCCAUGGGAGAUUUCGAGGUCCGAAAUCAGCAGCAACACGCUCCUCCUUCUCAACACAUCAAGGCUUGCCUGUAAUUAACAGUGGGAAUUCUGUUUUAUCCUUGUAUAUUCAUAUAGGAGGAUCAUUAACAAAUAUCUCGUCAGGAAGUAUGAUUGAUAUCUGCAUAGCUAUUAUGUGGUAAGAUUUCAAGCAAUCUCUCGUCUCUAUCAUCCAGUGAAUUAACUAACAGCAAUAUAAUCUGAAUAAAAUGGACUGAAAGAACAGAACAAUAACCGAACCUUUUCUUGGUGGAACCAUCAAAGAGUGGUAGUUGAUCGUCCUUGGCAUAAAUCAAAGCCUUUAGAAUCUUCAUGUUGUCAAUGUGGAAAGCUUCGAACAGGCUCACAAGUGUUUGAAAUGCUUCAAUAUGUCUUUUCUCAUCUGGAUCACAGAGAGAUCACUAGUUAUCACCAUCCAGCAUGUAUUUUGCAUCAAAACAUAAUUUUUUUAAAUGGUGAAUAUUAUAAUAUACUGUUUGAUAUGAAUUGCACUUGUUUGACAGGGCUCGGACUCACCUAUGUGUUGAAAAAAAGGGUGAGCUGCUUCAUGAGAUGGCUGUGAAUGUUAUUAACCUUGUGGGCCAAGCUUGAUAGCUCCCAAGCCUCUGUUGUGGAUGCUAUGUACCUGUGGAGCAGAUAGUGAGAUGCAAAAGAAAAGUUUAGCACCCUUUUCACUCUACUUUUGGCUGCUUUGCAUGCAUGUGAAAACCCUUCUAGUACUUUCAUAGCCAGAGCCAGAGUAGACUGAGCUUUCUACAUGUUAUUUUGGUGCAAGAAUAUUUCUGAUUAAUAUAAGCAAAUUUAUCAUGGAGAAGGAAACACAUACUCAUGACCCAUGCCAAUAAGGCCCAUAAUUUGCGAUGCGCAAGCCACAAUACUCCUGAUGGUCCAGUAAACAGCAGUGGGGAUAUGCGGCGGUGGCAGUUAACAUUUCUGGAGUGUCAGGGGUGAUGUAUUGCGACGGAAGCUCCUUGAACUCAACUAUGCAUUUGGCCACAUCCAACAUGGCCUUGAUAAGGCUUGUGAGUGCCUCAAACUUGGGCUUCAGAUUGUCUGCUCGUUCAAUUAUAUCCGGCAAUUGCUUCAGAAGUGCAACCGCCUUAGCAGUGGGUUUGUAAGGUAAAGCUGGGCGACAAGCCAAAACUCCCCAUAGUUCACGGCAAAUCCAGCUAACGCUAGCACCACCUUUUCGUCCCACGAGUAGUUUGAUACCAAGUUGAAGAUUGCCAAAGUUGUUGCAUGUGCAUCUCCACCUCCAGAACACUUGCAGGACAUCUGUUGGAAAAAACAGCGUAUUCGUAAGUGUCUUUAAACAUCAUGAACUUAUAAACCCACAAAUCUCUUCUGUCCGAACUUACCUCGCAGGAAAUCUUGUUGAUGUUGUAAGACAGCAUCUCGAUCGUUUCAUGAAAGCCAUUUUGAAGAGCCUUCUCCUCCAACUCAUCAAGUUGUGCUUGAUGAGCUCCCUGAAAUAUAGAAGUCACCAGUGAUGAUCAGAAACAUAAUAAUAAUGCUGAAUAAAUUAUCAUACCAAUAUAACAAGCACAUAGAAAUAUAGCAUGCAACUGGUUAGGUAUAUACCUGCUGCUGAACAAUGCUGGUCAUGCCUAGGGCAGGAGUGGCACGGAGGAAAAUGUCCUCAACAAUAUGAAGAAGAGGCUUCACUGAAAAUUCACGGCCAUCAGGAGCAUGAGUGGCCUGAAUUUGCUUCAUCAUUGCGGUGUCAUCCGAUGAUGAAAACAUACUGCGUUCACGCCUCAUCUUUAGGUACCACUGCCAUCGAGGUCAUAGAAAACUAUAUAGAUUCAAAUUCUAAGAGGGAAAGAGAGAGGAGCGAACAGCUUGUGUUGGUAUGGAUGUGGUUAGCUGAUCCGAGACUUGUAUUUAUAGGUCAAAUUAAGCUAGAAUUAAUACCUUGCUUCAGACAGGGUCUAAGCUCUAAAGUGCACCAGGGAUAAAUUUUGGAUAAGGUCCUGUCUACAAUAUUGUACCUGAUUUUACUAUCUCUUUUGGCUUUGAUUUUAACUAUGUUUUCGAAGAUUCGAAUACUAUGAUUGCUGAUUUUACUUCUAUAUGUUUUGUGGAACACGUUGAUGCUGAGUUUGUCACACAGUCACAGUUUAAAUUUUAAUUUUGUGGAACACGUUGAUUCCGAGCAUGUCACAGGUCCAUACUUUCCGGUCAGCCCAUGAUCGGAAUGUUGUUUCAGCGGCAACGCCCUUGCUCUGCUUGUUGAGACUCAGAAGCUGAAAUCCUUUCGUUUUCUUAUAGAAAUCAUUAACGAGUUGUAACUCAUCUGACAUCAAUGUAAUUUACUCUUUUCAAGAGAUCUGGAAUUCAAAUUUCAACGUCAUAGAAUGAAAUUACGUUCUCAAACAAAGAUAAAGGCAGCAGUACUCUGAUCAUAUUAUUAUGAUGGAAGGCAACAUUCAAUCCACAAGCAAUUAUCUGUGCUGCUGCACCCGUGUGUAAAACAAAAUUUCAUGUGUUAUUCUGAAAUGGUUGCACGUUAAUUUUAACCAGACAAUACGAUGAAGGAAUGGAGAAAAUGUUUAUGAACUUUCUCUGAAGAAUGUUUCUUUGUCUUUUAUGACGUAAGAAACCUUUCAUCAUUAAAGUUAAAGGUUAUUAGAUGCUCAUUGUUUUCUCUGUUUUCCAUAUCACCAGCAAUAAUGACGCAUCUCUUUCCUUCACUUUGUGGUAGGGUUUUUGUGUUUUAAUAUUUUUUUUAAAAAAUUAAUUUUUAAUUUAUUUUAAAUUAAUUUUUAAAUAUUAUUUUAAUAUACUGAUAUCAAAAAUAGAUUUUAUUUCAUUAUAAUAUUUUAAAAACACUUUAAAAAAUAAUUAUAUCAUAAAACCAAACAAACUCAUCAUCAUUAAUUAUUAAAAAUAAAUUUUAAUAAUUCAUGAUAAAUAAAUAAAUAAAUUCAUGCUGUUUAUUAAAACUAAUUAUUUAGUUUUUAUAGUAUAAAAAAUGAUUAAAGAGUCCCCUAACCAAUACUUACCAUCCUUAAUUCAAUAGGAUUUUCUUUUCUUCUAAGAAAUUUCUACUUUUCUGAUUAGAUCUCUUUAUCUUACAUGCUUUUUUAGUUUCUCUUUUCUUUUUAUUUCUCAAAAACAAAAAAAUAAAAAUAAAAGCCGAAACAAAUAUAAAAUUGAAGAAAGGAACAUCCAAACCAAGCCACCUUUCUAAAUUUACGAUUAAUUGAUUAAUUAAUUUUGUCAAACUGUAAGUACUAAUUUAUAGUUUAGUCACCACGAACCAUCCAGAUUCUAAACUCCAAGCCAAGCCACCUUUCUCCCCAUUUCUUUACAUUUUAAAAGGGUGUUUUCUAUUUGCUCAUCCUGCAUGAGUCAAGUUAUUUAUGAGAAUUAUUUUUUCCUCGUAUUAAUUUUUUUAUUUCAAAUUAAUAUAUUUUUUAGUAUUUUUAGAUUAUUUUGAUACACUAAUAUCCAAAAUAAUUUUAAAAAAUAAAAAAUAUUAUUUUAAUAUAUUUUUAAAUAAAAAAUAUUUUAAAAAACGACUAUAAUCAUUCUUCCAAUUAAAUCCUUAAUAUAACUUAUCAAAAAAGUACUUAAGUCAUUGUAAUACCUUUAAAAACUGUUAAUGGUCGUGCGCGUUGCCUUACAUGAGGUCGUUUGAAUAUAUAACUAAGCUUACCCAACAACAAAUCUUUUUUAUUAUUAUAUAUUUACUUAAAAGGUACUUUUAUUAAUCAAAGUUAAAAAUACUCAAGCGUUGCAAACGUAACUGCCAAUUUUGUUUUUUAAAAAUGAUGUGAAAAAAAUUAUUAGAGUAUAAUAAAAAGUUAAAGGUUAUAAUUGAUUGCUUUUUUUCUUUGAAAAAAGUAUGAUUGAGAAAGAAGAGUAUUUUGAUAGGUAUUUAUUCCUUAAUUAAAAAAAAAACUCACCAAAUUAUAAGUGUGAUUGAAAUAUAACAUUAUUUCAAACUAAUCAUAAUGAAAUUAUAAAAAAAACCAUCCAAGAACAAUGAAGGAAUAGAAAAAAAAAGGUCGUCUUUUAGUUCAACUUUAAUUUAGAACAAAUAUAAAAUAUACCAUAAAACAAUUGGAUCAUCAUCGAUUUGCACUUAGACUAUCCAAACACCCUUGUUUAGAUCUUGAAAGAACAUCACAUAUAAUCACUCCAAAUGAUUUUUGAUCCCAUCGAACUUGAAAUAAUUAUAGCUCAAACUUUAUGAAAUUCCAAAGAAUGACAUGGGGACCAAAAUCAAAGCAUAAGGUGGAAAAGGAAAAGGAUAAGGAAGAACCUUAUAUUCUCUAGACUUGAACUCCAAGGAACGUGGGAAUAAGGCAGGCGUUCAACACCUAUACCAGGGAGGGGGGGGUAAAAAGUGGUGGAUAACAAGUUUUAAAUUUGAGAUCUGCCGAUAUGUCACCCAAAAUCCGUUUAAUUUGGGACCGAAUUGGUCUGAAUUAAAAAAAAUAAUAAUAAUUGAUUGACUCAGUAUCGAUUUAAUCAAGAUCUGACCCGGUUACAGAUGACUAAAAUUCAUUAAAUUGUUUUUAAUCUUUUUUUUUAUCAAAACAUAUUAUUUUGACUUUUAAAAAAAUUAGGUCAAUUUGAAUUAAUUAUUCCGACUCGUAACACAGACUUGCCUUUGUUGUUUUAGGUCGAGUUUUAAAUAUAAUAUAUAAGUUAUUAAGUUAUUGAGUUAAUCUUUAUCAGUUCAAUUUAAAUAAAUUAUUUAAAAAAUAAAACUUCAAAACCCAAUCUAAAUCUAGUCAAGUUUGAACCAAGCUAAUCAUGUAAUUAAAAACUUAAUCGAGUUAAUCAGAUUUGAUCUAGUUAAUGACUUUUUAGAUUCAACUUAAGGGUCAUGGUUUUCUAGUAACAACUAGCGGAGACCGGCCGGGUUUAACAUCUAUGAAAUAAUUAACUAUGCUAGUACAGGAAAACUAAUAAGAAACCACAGAUUUACUGCUCUUUGCUUCUAGCAAGUUUGGUUUUUUUUUUUUUUAUUUGUGUUGGGAGAUUCUAGUUUCUUUCCUUGCUGUCAUCUUUCUACUAAUUUUAUCUCCAGAGGAUCAAUAGCUGCAACUUGUAGAAGGCCGCCUUUUCUACCUUAUUUUUCUGCUCUUUAUCUUUAUACAGAUCGCCGAGAAUUAGCAGAACAAGCAAGGAUAUAGUUACUGUAUUGUUUACUAAGAACAUGAUCAAGUGUACUGUAAAAUUAAGUUGCAUCAAUCUGUAAUUAGAUGAUCAUAAUAAAUUGUCAAGCAUUCUGUUUAACAACGAUAAUAAAAAAAAUAGCUUGAUGUUUGUUUGCUUGGUACAUAUCGAUAUUUCACUCAUAAACAACGUUCUUCUUCAUGGGAUGCUCACACUACUCACACAGUACAGUUUCUUCUGUUAGCCCUUCUGCGUAAGUGAUAAGUAAUUUACUAUCAACUAUGAAAGAAUCAAGACAGAAAGGAAGAAGAGACAAAGUAGGAAGGAAGUUAUUUAUUUUCUGCAUAAUUCAAAACAACCUAUUGGCUAUAUUUUAUAGCCGACUAAACAUUGAACAAUAAACUACCUGCUUAAGAAUAGGAAAGCACUAACAAUACGAAACUAAUAAUAAGGAAUUACUCCUUCCACUACGCUAGUUUCCAGCCAUGACCAGUAACUAACAAAGACUCCUUCCUCAUUCACCCCACGUUACUAGUAACUAACAAAGACCCAUUCCUCAUUCAUCCCACGUCCCUGCACCAUGCCUUUACCCACGUAGGAAUGAACAUAUCAAUUCCCCACCCUUAAGAUUCCUUGUCCGCAAGGAAUGCAGGAUAGGACUUAGCCAAUCGGCGUUCAUCUUCCCAAGUGGCAUCAUCAACCGAGGUGCCUGUCCAUUUAAUGAGAACUUCAACCUUUGGACGAUAUUGGCCUUUUUGGAUGACUCUGCGAUCCAGAACUGUCUCAGGUUGAGGCAGAAUAUUGGCUUCAUCAUUCACAGGAGGAAGCUGAGUAGAAAUUGUAGUGACAGGACCAACAUGUUUUUUUAACAUGCUAACAUGAAAGACGUUGUGAAUCAAAGACCCCAAAGGCAAAGCCAAACGAUAAGCUACUGGUCCAACUUUUUCUGUAAUUUGGUAAGGACCAAAAUAGCGGGGUGACAGCUUCAAAGAGCUGCGAAAUGCCACCGAAGUCUGUCGGUAAGGUUGCAGUUUCAGGUAGACAAAGUCGCCCACUUCAUAGUUAACCUCACGACGCCGCUGAUCUGCUUGACAUUUCAUCCGCGCUUGAGCUAAUGAGAGAUUCUUUCUCAACUCACAGAGGAUGGCAUCUCGAUUACGCAAGUAUCCAUCCACAGCCUGUACGUUGGAAGUUCCAGGGACAUACAUCAAUAAGGUUGGAGGUGGAACUCCAUACACUGCCUCAAAAGGUGUCAUUUUGGUUGCUGAAUGGACUGAGGUGUUAUAGCUAAAUUCUGCCCAUGGAAUCCAGUCAAUCCAUUUGCGUGGUUGGUCCCCUGCAAAACACCGCAAGUACUGCUCCAAGACGCGAUUAAUCACCUCAGUCUGGCCGUCCGUUUGAGGGUGGUAGCUUGAACUCAUGCAUAACUUUGUGCCCUGAAGCCGAAACAGUGUGCGCCAAAAAGAACUAAUGAAUACUCUGUCCCGAUCACUAACUAUUGAAGCUGGAAUUCCAUGCAGCCGGACUAUGUGAGAAACGAAUGCUUGUGCAACCGUGGCAGCUGUAUAUGGAUGUUUCAUGGGAACAAAAUGUGCAUAUUUAGACAAACGAUCAACAACCACCAUAACCACCGUAUGCCACUGGAUGGUGGUAACCCCUCAAUGAAAUCCAUGGAUAUGUCAACCCAUAUCCUGUCAGGAAUUGAUAGAGGCUGAAGUAAUCCAGCAGGUCGCAUGGAAUCUGUCUUGUAUCGCUGACAAAUAUCACAGCUACGCAAAAAUUCUUUGACUGUGCCACGCAUUUGCGGCCAGGAGAAGCUUUGUUUGAGUCGGGAUAAGGUUUUAUGAUAACCAAAAUGUCCUCCCGUAGGAGAAGCAUGACAUUCUGUAAUAAUAUCUUGCAGUAAAGAAGAAGUGGGACUCAAAUAAAGCUUACCCUUUUUGAACCAAACUCCAUCCGGUAUGAAAAUGCAGCAGUGGAAGAUGUACUGUCAGCCAAAGGUGUAAAGAAUGGAUCAUGUGCCACUUCAUGUUGAAGCUUCUGCCACCAAUCAACAUGUGGAGUAGAGAUGGAAAGAAACUGACAUUCAGUACCCGUGAAAGAGAAUCAGCUGCCUGGUUGUCAACUCCUUUCUUGUACUCGAUAAUAUAGUCAUAUCCCAUAAUCUUCGGUAACCAACGAGUCUGAGCUGGUGUAGUAAUGCGCUGCUCCAACAAAUAUUUGAGACUUUGUUGGUCUGUGCGCACAAUGAAUGGUUUGCCAGCAAGUAGGGUCUCCAUUUCUUAAUGGACUUCACAAUUGCUAACAUCUCUUUUUCAUAUGUAGAGAGAAUCAGUGUUGAACCUUUCAGAGCCUCACUAUAAUAAGCUAUGGGACGUUGUUUUGAGAAGCACAGCCCUAGGCCAACUCCGCAAGCAUCACACUCAAUGACAAACGGCUGUGUAAAAUCUGGCAGAGCCAAAACAGGAGGAGAUGUUAAUGCUUGUUUCAAAUCGUUGAACGCCUUUUCUGCCAUAUCGUUCCAUUUGAAACCAUCUUGGAUAACAACUGGUUGAGGGGAGCAGCAAUGGUACCAAAAUUCCGAAUAAAUUUUCGGUAGUACCCAGCUAGACCCAAAAAUCCGCGGACCCCUUUAAUGGUGGUUGGAGUAGGCCAUUCCAGAACUGCUCUACGAUUUUGGACGGAUCGACAGAAACCCCUUGUUCUGAUAUAACAUGGCCCAAAUAAUCACUGAAGUAACCCCAAACCUGCAUUUAGAUUCCUUUGCCAAAUAAACUGUUAGUAGACAAGAUUGUCAAAACAGUGUGGAGGUGACUUAAAUGAUCCUCCCAAGAUUUUGAAUACACCAAAAUGUCGUCAAAGAAGACAAGAAUGAAUUUCCGUAAAUGAGAACGGAAGAUAUCAUUCAUAAGACCUUGGAAGGUUGCAGGUGCGUUAGUAAGUCCAAACGGCAUGACAACAAACUCGUAGUGGCCUUCAUGCGUCCUGAAUGCGUUUUAGGAUGUCUUCUUCUGUACCCUGAUUUGGUGAUAACCUGCUCGAAGAUCAAGCUUGGAAAAAAAUUUGGCUCCAUGUAAUUCGUCAAGAAGUUCAUCGAUGACUGGAAUAGGAUAUUUAUCCUUGAUGGUAAGAUCAUUUAGAGCUCGAUAGUCUAUGCAGAAACGCCAAUCCCCAUCUGCUUUCCUGACCAACAAGACCGGUGAAGAAAUGGGCUAUGGCUGGGACGUAUGAACCCUGCGUGUAGUAGCUCCUUUACCAUCCGUUCAAUCUCAGACUUUUGAUAAUAUGGAUAUCUGUAAGGUCGUACACUGACUGGUUGGAUGUUGGGCUGCAGCAUAAUUUGGUGGUCAUGUAGUCGUUUAGGUGGUAAGGUUGUAGGAGGGUUGAAAACGUGAGAGAAAUUGGAUAAGAGUUGGGCUAUUUCAGAGGGGUGUGACUUUGGCUGGGUAGUAGAGCCUACUGGAAUGAUAGCAAAGAAUUGGCUAGAUACGUACAUAGUAUUGAACUCCUUCUCUGUCAACUCUUGUAGGCCGGAUUGUUUCAGCCCUUGGAACACACAUAAAUUUCCAUCUUUUUUGAAAGACAUUGUGAGUCUCUUAUAAUCGGUCUCCACCGGUCCCAGUGUCACAGCCACUGCACCCCAACACUACUGGACACGCUGCUACUGGAAGAAUAAAGUAAUCUGCUGUAACCAUUUGUCCUGUAUCAAGAUGGUGAGUGAAGGACACAAUCCAGUGCAAUCUAUCUUCUCCCCGUUGGCUACUGUCACCUGGAAUUUUUAUUAGGAAUCACAGGUAAUUCAUAUUUGUGGACUAUGGACUGAUCAAUGAAAUUGUGUGUGCUUCCACCAUCUAUCAAUACCAUGACUUCUUUGCUCCUCAAUCUUCCCAUCACCCGAAGGGUUUGGGGUGAGCGUACCUGUAAUUGCAUGGAAGGAAAUUUCAGGAAAGGCUUCCUGGUCCUCUGCCGCUGGUAGAAUCUCCGAUUGUUCCACAGACUCCUGAUCAUUUGAGUCACAAAUCAUGAAUAAUUGGGGUCGUUGGCAGCGAUGACCCGGACUGAAUUUCUCAUCACAAUAGUAACAUAAACCUUUCUCUCGCCGUUCUCGUGCUUCCUGGGUGGAAAUACGUCUGGCAUUUGACGUGGAAUUCAUGCUCUGCCGCAGAUUUGGUGGAGGUCCAAGCACCCCGACAGUAUUACUCAUGCUUGGCUUUGUUGUAGCUGUAGUUGUUGAAUCCGGAAAGGGUGUGUUACCUUCUUUUGAAGUUGGUUUCGUUCUUCAAUCAACCUUGAGACACCGAUGGUAUCUGAUAGUGUGGUUGGGUGCUUAAUCUUGACAUCCAAGCGAAUAUCAUCUCUUAGACCUGCAAUGAAACAGCCGAUAAGGAAGGUUUCUGGAAGGCCAUCAACUUGAUGGGAGAGUUUUUCAAACUCUUCUUGAUAGGCUGCAAUGGUAGAAGUUUGUCGCAGUCCUUGAAAGAGCUUCAGAGGGUCUUCAAAAUCAGUUGGACCAAAACGUCGGAGAAGGGCCUUGGUGAAUUCUUUCCCAUGUUAAUAUGGUCCCUGGAAUUUAGUCAUCCAUCGAUGCCAUUGUAAGGCUAUGCCCUCUAGGUGGAAGGAUGCAAGCGAUACUCGUUGAACAGGUGGAACAUUAUUGUACUCAAAAUACUGCUCAGAUUUGUAAUCCACCCAUAGGAUCUUCCCCGCUGAAUUUUGCAAAAUUCAAUUUUAGUGAAUGAUGGUUUCCUGAGUUGUGACUUGAUGAUUCAGCAGGAGCAAAUGGGUUAAACUUCGGAGGAUUCAUUCUUGGGCUCCUGGAGACGCGUAAGGCUUGUAACUCUGUCAGUAUCGUUUGUAAAGUGCCAUGCACCUGAUCGAGUUGGCUUCGUGUCUAGCCAAAGUUCAUUGACUUCACUGCGGAACUCCGCAUUAGAUUUCCUCUGGUAUCCAUGUUGGAACCAGCUCUGAUACCAAUUGAUAAGUAAUUUACUAUCAACUAUGAAAGAAUCAAGACAGAAAGGAAGAAGAGACAAAGUAGGAAGGAAGUUAUUUAUUUUCUGCAUAAUUCAAAACAACCUAUUGGCUUAUAUUUUAUAGCCGACUAAACAUUGAACAAUAAACUACCUGCUUAAGAAUAGGAAAGCACUAACAAUACGAAACUAAUAAUAAGGAAUUACUCCUCCCACUACGCUAGUUUCCAGCCAUGACCAGUAACUAACAAAGACUCCUUCCUCAUUCACCCACGUUACUAGUAACUAACAAAGACCCAUUCCUCAUUCAUCCCACGUCCCUGCACCAUGCCUUUACCCACGUAGGAAUGAACGUAUCAGUAAGGAACAACUUUCGAAUGAUUUCAAGGCCCUAGGAGGGGAGGAGGAGGAGGAGGAGGAGGUGGAUCAAUGGAAGCUCUAAGUGCUGACACGAAUCUAACUUUGCCACAUUUCUUCCCAUUCUGGAACCUAUUCCAACCAUUUUAUUGCUUCACUAGCUGAAAGUUUUACAAUGUCUGCCGUAUUCCCUCUUCCGAUUAUGGCCCACCUCUAACUCUUGCGGUAAGGAUGAUCAUAUGUUCUAUCAAGCAGCAGAAGCAAUCCCUCUCGUGGAAGGAGCUCUGCCUUGGAACCAAAAGUAAAACUACCUUGCCCUUCAUUUCAGAUACACCUAGCUGUAAAAUGAACUCAAAGAAAAUCGUAUCAGAUGCAAUGUUGUGGAUAGAACGAAAAUCAUAGGUUUUUUUUUUGAAAUCCAAGGAAGAAAAAAACAUUAUUAUAGUGAAUAAUAUUUGCAAGGAGACAUACAGUAAAACCUCAUUCUCUUGUUGUUUUUUAUUUAUGAAAUUGAGAAAAAAUUAAUUAGAUAAAAAAAAUUCUAAUCAAUUUGUCAAAUUUACCAUUUAAAUCAUGAAACUAAGAUAACCUUAUAAAAAUAAAUUAAAAAAAUUAUAAAAUUCAAUCCCAAAUAAAUUUAAUAUUAAAAAUAAAAUUAAUUUUUUUAAAUAUAAAAACAAAAAUAAAUCCCCGUUUAUCUUUAGUUUUUUGGUGAAUUCAGAUACAGGAAAGUCUUAAUAAAAAUAAAAAUCCCGUAAUAAUUUUUUAACUGGGAUAAAAUAACAAUUUCAUGUCAACUGAAAAUAAAAUAAUUAAUUUUUUUUCUUUUAAUUUCUCAUUUCUUCACUUGAUUUUUUUUAGUUAAUAUUUUAUAAGUUGGACUUCAUAAGUUUACAAAAAUAUUCUCUUAUUUUUAAUAUUUUUAUAUAAUUUUUUUAUGUUUUUCCCCUUACUUUUCUCUCUUUCUUUUUUAUCUUUUUUUUUUUUUCCUGUUUUGCUACCUAGUCGGCAACAUAUAAAAGAAAGAAGAAUUGAUUUAUUUUAUUUUUUAAUGGUAAAUAAUUUUUUAUCUUUAAUGAGUCGUUUUGCUUUUAUUUAAAAGAUUUUAUUUUUGCGUUAGCAUUACAAAACUCUGUUUAUCCUAAAAUUUUAACCAUAUUUUAUUCAAUAUUUUAAGAUCCUUCAUAAAAUUUCAGCUCAAUCUGAUAGUGAAAUUGAAAAUUAUAUGUAAUAUAUAAAACUGUUCAAAUAAUGAUUUUUUAUUAAAUUUUUAAAUUUCUCUAAAAUUUCUGAAAUUUUAAACUAAGUUUAAACAUAGACUAUACCUAAAUUUUUAAAAAUUUUAAAUAACUCAAUUAUAAAUUAUUUUUUUAUAUAAACCAAUAAAAAAUCUUGAUAAAAUCUUCAACUAACCCACCCUAACCUUUGCAUUGCCUCCGCCCUUGUUACCACUGUUAAUGUGAUGUUUUGUAUUAAAAAGAUUGGAAAAUACAAUAAAGCCCUUGGUGGUUUAAAGAGAGGGUAUAAAUGAUUGAGGGUUAGUGUGGUAAUUGAACAAUAGUUGAUAAAUAUAAAUAAGAAGAAGAAAAAAAAAAACAAGAAUGAUCUGAUUUUGAGAGAAAGAGAGCUACGGGAGAGAGGGAAAGAGGAAGAAGAAGAAAAGAAAGGAGGAAGGAAAGGAAGGAGAAGAGAAGUAGAGGAAAUAAGUAAAAAGGUAAGAUUUAUGGUUUGAAGUGUUAAUAUGUUUAAUUUCGGUUUUGAUUAAUUUUUAGAGUUUUGAAGUUUGUAUUUUGAGUUAAUUGAUGAAUUAAUUUGAAGGUUAGGAGUUGAUUAUUGUGGGUAUUUGAUUAAUUAGUUGAUUUUGAGAGAUUGAAUUGAAGGAUAAUGAUUUUGAGUUAUGAUUUUGUUUAAAUGGUGAAAUUGUGUUAGAAAUCAGGGGAUAACAGUAGGUGAUCUGUUGAAAUUCUGGUUUGAGGUUGAAGAUGACGAAAAUUCAGUUUGGUCCCUCAAUUUGAAAUUGCAGUUUAGUCCCCGAACUUUGGAAAUUUUACAGAUUGGUCCCUGGGGCAUAAAUUGAGGUUCUGAACAGAACUGAGGAUGAUUUAAGGACAAAAUUCCAGUAUAAUUAAUAUUUUCAGUUUGGUCCUCCAAUUUGACAAAAAGUAUAAUUUGACCCUAAAAUUUGGUAAAGUUCCAGAAUGGUCCUUGGAGCAUAAUGAUAUAUCCUGGACAGAAUUGAGGAUUAAUUAUGGAUCAGAAUUUCAGUAUGGUUAUAUAUUUACAAUUCGGUCCUCAAAUUUUGGUAAAAUUACGUUUUGGUCCCUGUUUUGGAAAAUUGUCGUUUUAGUCCCUAAACUUGGGAGAUUAAGCCCGAUUUUAUUUUAUGCAUUGGAUCUUUUGUUUGAUUUGUUUUUGAGUAUAUUUCAUAUAUUUAUUGUAGGUUCUCCUAACGAUCCUUAAUCGGAUUUUGGGUCUUUCGUCUGACAUUCCUUUAGUUCAGUAUUUUCGGGUGAGUGGAAUAAUCUUUAAUAUGCAUAUAAUAUAAAUAAUAUAUGUAUGUUGAUUAUACAAUGAGUACAAGUAGUAAAUUUCUUGAAUAUUUAUAUAUGUUGCUUUAUUUUCCGAGUACUCAUUUAUUCUUGAAUUUGCACUCGCAAUCUGUAAAGUAAAUUCUAUUUGAUAUGAUAUACGUUUCUUUGAUGAUUAUGUGAAUAUCUGUUAUGCCUUGAUAUGGACUUGUCAGUAACUCUAUGUUCUGUAUACCUAGCUGGUGAGAGAGGCAUCAGCCUGUGGCGAUUGAUCAUCCCACAGUGGUGUCCGACGGGUGUCAUCUGGUCACCUUCGGGUGUCAUCUGAUCUCUGACAUGUAAUCCACUACGUUAUGAUAAUAUGUUACGUUAUGAUAAUAUGUUUAGUAAGUAUAUGUAUAUGUAUAUUAAGAUAAAUCAUCUUAUAAAUUAUUAAUAUCUGAAAUGUAUAUUAAAUGUUAUUCCUUCACUGAGUUGGUUGAACUCACCUCUCAUUUUUAAUAUUAUUUCAGGUUCUUAGUUUCUGGGACUUUGUUGAGUGUUCCCGCUUCUUCAGUUCUGGUCGGUAUGCCUUGCUUGUUCGCGAGGCUUUCCUUUCAGUUUUGAUUUGAUGUCUUAAACGUUCCACUGUUACCUUGGUUUAAUUAAAUUUGGAUUUUGACAAUUUAAUGAGUAUUAUGAAUUAUUAUUUUUGUUUUAAUAACUAUCUUUCAGUUUCAUCAGUAUUUGAAUAAUAUAAUAUUUCUAAAUAUUAUGAGCCGCUGCGUAUUUUUGAACAAAUUGUUCUUUUGAUAUGUCCGUUCUGAGGCUUAGCGUAGGUGAGGUGUCCUUUCGACACCGCUCCUACGUUGCCGGUCACGGAUCCGAGAUUCGGGUCGUGACAGUUAAACAGCAUGGUGCUUUGUUUCCAGCACCGUGUUACCUGUCUCUUGUUUUCUACUGUUUAUUAUAAUUUUAUGGUGAUGAAAUUGAUCGAUGCCGGCCUGUAAACAAAUCUUCCUUCUGCGAAAUAAACAAUGUAUUCGAAUAAGGAGCAGGGACAGAGAGUUCAAAGAUCGAAAGAUUAAUUCAAGUCUUCAUGAACUUUCAUGGGGACUACGAGAUUAAAAAUGCCCCUCGCAACAAGAAGUCUGAAUCAGUUAAUUACUGGAUGUUAUUAAGGGUUUGACUUUUGAGUAUUGAUUCAAAUCCCUAAAGUUUUAAGGCGUUAUGUUCUAAAUCAAAUCCUUGUCAUCGAGGCCUAAGAUAUGCUCUGAUUUCUAGGAGGUUUUCCGAUGAGUGAACAUUGCCAAGGAAAUGGACAUGUAGAAACUAGAAAUGGUACUGCAAACAACACCUUUCAUUAACAAUAAGCAACAUAUUAAAAUACAAAUAACAUGCAGUAGUAGAAAAGCCUCGACAUAUUCCACACCAGAGCUGAUGUGCAUCAUCACAGAUAGUAGCGGCAGCGACGGUGGCCGUGUCUGCCUUGGUUUUUAUUGAAAUAGAUAGUGAUUUAAAACGUAAAUAGCAUACCGUAUUUCCUGGUAAUAAAGCUCAAUCGGUACAGCAACGAUACUGAUGAACUUCUCCAUGGGACGGCCGCAUUCAGCACAAAGAACCCUCUCUUGUACACCGUCCUUCAAUAUCGCAACGAUAGAUGAUGAACUUCUCCCUGUAGCCCCUGGCAGUAUCAGACGGUAGCAGUGGAGUGGGCUUGGAGUUCAUGGAGGUAAUCAAUCAGUGCAGGCAGAAAACCCUUCUCCUGUACACCGUCCUUCCAUAUCUCAAAGUCAACUAAAGAUUUCAGUAUGGUUUCUCCGUUUGCCUUGGCCAUAUCAGCAGGUCCCCUGCUGAUCAAAGCCCACCCUUGAUCACUUCCAUCGAAGCUGAGCACUGUCAUUAUCUCCUGCAUGAUGACGUCAGUCUCUACAGUCCUCUUGUGUUGCACCUUGGAAUGCCACAUGCUCUCCAGCCUAACCCAAAAGAACCAGAUCAAAGUGAGGUCUGGCAAUACAUUGCUAAGUUUCUCGGUCGUAAUGGUAGAGUUGUUUUUCCUAACUUUCUCCCUGGGGUUGCUCUUCCCUACGUAGAGCAUUUCUAACGUUAUAGCGGCCUUGCUCGCAACUUCUUUUGCAGUAACGGUGAAUUUACGGAUCCACUCAAUGUCCUCCCCACCAUACAAGCAUAUGUACUUCCCUUGCUCUAUCUGCAAUAACAAUUAAUUGUGUUAAAUCCAUGAAUAAUGCGCGUAUGAAAUUCCUCUGCACCAGUCGGGUUGUUGUCGGGUUUACAAAUUAGUUUCAAGUUGGGAAAUUUGAAUCCCUCUGCUGAGAAAUUGCAAGUAGUAGAUGAUGUCGAUAGAAUGUUGAGAUAAAGACUGCAUUUUAGUUUGAUUAUUGUAUAUGCAUGCAAGAGAGGAAAGCUAUACCCAAGACACGAUCAUUGGAUUAAUGUUAUCUGCCAAUAGCUCGAUUUUCCAGGUUUCUUCUUUCCAGAGUGCUUCCUCCCUCAUGCUGGUGAAAGGGAAAGCCAGGCUUCCCCAAAUCCACAUCAUGUGGAUUGCAUUGGGGUUGACUACUCUCCCUUGUGGAUCCAAAACCACAAGCAAGGGCCUCUUGUUGAAGUGCCACACCUCUUUGAUGUACCUGAUGACUGCAACAUCGAGCAAUGAAGGGUGAUAGACAGAGUACCAUGGCAUCAUCCUCUGAAAAUCCUCAAACUGCUUUUGCUUUGUUUCAUUCCAUGAUCUGUCCACAACUGGGAGCCAUACAACCUCAUACUGGCUCUCUGGUCUUCCUGGUUGCUCCCGCGCCUCACUGUACAUUUGUUGCAGCAUUGAAAGCUCUCCAUGGGAGAUUUCGAGGUCCGAAAUCAGCAGCAACACGCUCCUCCUUCUCAACACAUCAAGGCUUGCCUGUAAUUAACAGUGGGAAUUCUGUUUUAUCCUUGUAUAUUCAUAUAGGAGGAUCAUUAACAAAUAUUCUCGUCAGGAAGUAUGAUUGAUAUCUGCAUAGCUAUUAUGUGGUAAGAUUUCAAGCAAUCUCUCUGGUCUCUAUCAUCCAGUGAAUUAACUAACAGCAAUAUAAUCUGAAUAAAAUGGACUGAAAGAACAGAACAAUAACCGAACCCUUUUCUUGGUGGAACCAUCAAAGAGUGGUAGUUGAUCGUCCUUGGCAUAAAUCAAAGCCUUUAGAAUCUUCAUGUUGUCAGUGUGGAAAGCUUCGAACAGGCUCACAAGUGUUUGAAAUGCUUCAAUAUGUCUUUUCUCAUCUGGAUCACAGAGAGAUCACUAGUUAUCACCAUCCAGCAUGUAUUUUGCAUCAAAACAUAAUUUUUUUAAAUGGUGAAUAUUAUAAUACUGUUUGAUAUGAAUUGCACUUGUUUGACAGGGUUCGGACUCACCUAUGUGUUGAAAACAAAGGGUGAGCUGCUUCAUGAGAUGGCUGUGAAUGUUAUUAACCUUGUGGGCCAAGCUUGAUAGCUCCCAAGCCUCUGUUGUGGAUGCUAUGUACCUGUGGAGCAGAUAGUGAGAUGCAAAAGAAAAGUUUAGCACCCUUUUCACUCUACUUUUGGCUGCUUUGCAUGCAUGUGAAAACCCUUCUAGUACUUUCAUAGCCAGAGCCAGAGUAGACUGAGCUUUUCUACAUGUUAUUUUGGUGCAAGAAUAUUUCUGAUUAAUAUAAGCAAAUUUAUCAUGGAGAAGGAAACACAUACUCAUGACCCAUGCCAAUAAGGCCCAUAAUUUGCGAUGCGCAAGCCACAAUACUCCUGAUGGUCCAGUAAACAGCAGUGGGGAUAUGCGCGGUGGCAGUUAACAUUUCUGGAGUGUCAGGGGUGAUGUAUUGCGACGGAAGCUCCUUGAACUCAACUAUGCAUUUGGCCACAUCCAACAUGGCCUUGAUAAGGCUUGUGAGUGCCUCAAACUUGGGCUUCAGAUUGUCUGCUCGUUCAAUUAUAUCCGGCAAUUGCUUCAGAAGUGCAACCGCCUUAGCUAGUGGGUUUGUAAGGUAAAGCUGGGCGACAAGCCAAAACUCCCCAUAGUUCACGGCAAAUCCAGCUAACGCUAGCACCACCUUUUCGUCCCACGAGUAGUUUGAUACCAAGUUGAAUAUUGCCAAAGUUGUUGCAUGUGCAUCUCCACCUCCAGAACACUUGCAGGACAUCUGUUGGAAAAAAGCAGCGUAUUCGUAAGUGUCUUUAAACAUCAUGAACUUAUAAACCCACAAAUCUCUUCUGUCCGAACUUACCUCGCAGGAAAUCUUGUUGAUGUUGUAAGACAGCAUCUCGAUCGUUUCAUGAAAGCCAUUUUGAAGAGCCUUCUCCUCCAACUCAUCAAGUUGUGCUUGAUGAGCUCCCUGAAAUAUAGAAGUCACCAGUGAUGAUCAGAAACAUAAUAAUAAUGCUGAAUAAAUUAUCAUACCAAUAUAACAAGCACAUAGAAAUAUAGCAUGCAACUGGUUAGGUAUAUACCUGCUGCUGAACAAUGCUGGUCAUGCCUAGGGCAGGAGUGGCACGGAGGAAAAUGUCCUCAACAAUAUGAAGAAGAGGCUUCACUGAAAAUUCACGGCCAUCAGGAGCAUGAGUGGCCUGAAUUUGCUUCAUCAUUGCGGUGUCAUCCGAUGAUGAAAACAUACUGCGUUCACGCCUCAUCUUUAAAGGUACCACUGCCAUCGAGGUCAUAGAAAACUAUAUAGAUUCAAAUUCUAAGAGGGAAAGAGAGAGGAGCGAACAGCUUGUGUUGGUAUGGAUGUGGUUAGCUGAUCCGAGACUUGUAUUUAUAGGUCAAAUUAAGCUAGAAUUAAUACCUUGCUUCAGACAGGGUCUAAGCUCUAAAGUGCACCAGGGAUAAAUUUUGGAGAAGGUCCUGUCUACAAUAUUGUACCUGAUUUUACUAUCUUUUUGGCUUUGAUUUUAACUAUGUUUUCGAAGAUUCGAAUACUAUGAUUGCUGAUUUUACUUCUAUAUGUUUUGUGGAACACGUUGAUGCUGAGUUUGUCACACAGUCACAGUUUAAAUUUUAAUUUUGUGGAACACGUUGAUUCCGAGCAUGUCACAGGUCCAUACUUUCCGGUCAGCCCAUGAUCGGAAUGUUGUUUCAGCGGCAACGCCCUUGCUCUGCUUGUUGAGACUCAGAAGCUGAAAUCCUUUCGUUUUCUUAUAGAAUCAUUAACGAGUUGUAACUCAUCUGACAUCAAUGUAAUUUACUCUUUUCAAGAGAUCUGGAAUUCAAAUUUCAACGUCAUAGAAUGAAAUUACGUUCUCAAACAAAGAUAAAAGGCAGCAGUACUCUGAUCAUAUUAUUAUGAUGAAGGCAACAUUCAAUCCACAAGCAAUUAUCUGUGCUGCUGCACCCGUGUGUAAAACAAAAUUUCAUGUGUUAUUCUGAAAUGGUUGCACGUUAAUUUUAACCAGACAAUACGAUGAAGGAAUGGAGAAAAUGUUUAUGAACUUUCUCUGAAGAAUGUUUCUUUGUCUUUUAUGACGUAAGAAACCUUUCAUCAUUAAAGUUAAAGGUGAUUAGAUGCUCAUUGUUUUCUCUGUUUUUUCCAUAUCACCAGCAAUAAUGACGCAUCUCUUUCCUUCACUUUGUGGUAGGGUUUUUGUGUUUUAAUAUUUUUUUUUAAAAAAUUAAUUUUUAUUAUUUUAAAUUAAUUUUUAAAUAAUUUUAAUAUACUGAUAUCAAAAAUAGAUUUUAUUUAAUUAUAAUUUUUAAAAACACUUUAAAAAAUAAUUAUAUCAUAAAACCAAACAAACUCAUCAUCAUUAAUUAUUAAAAAUAAAUUUUAAUAGUUCAUGAUAAAUAAAUAAAUAAAUUCAUGUUGUUUAUUAAAACUAAUUAAUUAGUUUUUAUAGUAUAAAAAAUGAUUAAAGAGUCCCCUAACCAAUACUUACCAUCCUUAAUUCAAUAGGAUUUUCUUUUCUUCUAAGAAAUUUCUACUUUUCUGAUUAGAUCUCUUCAUCUUACAUGCUUUUUUAGUUUCUCUUUUCUUUUUAUUUCUCAAACAAAAAAAAAAAUAAAAAUAAAAACCAAAACAAAUAUAAAAUUGAAGAAAGGAACAUCCAAACCAAGCCACCUUUCUAAAUUUAUGAGGAUUAAUUGAUUAAUUAAUUUUGUCAAACUGUAAAUACUAAUUUAUAGUUUAGUCACCACGAACCAUCCAGAUUCUGAACUCUAAGCCAAGCCACCUUUCUCCCCAUUUCUUUACAUUUUAAAAGGGUGUUUCCUAUUUACUCUUCCUGCAUGAGUUAAGUUAUUUAUGAGAAUUAUUUCUUCCUCGUAUUAAUUAUUUAAUUAUUUAAUUUUAAAUUAAUAUAUUUUUUAGUGUUUUUAGAUUAUUUUGAUACACUAAUAUCCAAAACAAUUUUAAAAAAUAAAAAAAUAUUAUUAAAAUAUAUUUUUAAAUAAAAAAUAUUUUAAAAAACAAUUAUAAUCAUUCUUCCAAUUAAAUCCUUAAUAUAACUUAUCAAAAAAGUACUUUAAGUCAUUGUAAUACCUUUAAAAACUGUCAAUGGUCGUGCGCGUUGCCUUACAUGAGGUCGUUUGAAACUUUGAAUAUAUAACUAAGCUUACCCAACUACAAAUCUUUUUUAUUAUUAUAUAUUUACUUAAAAGGUACUUUUAUUAAUCAAAGUUAAAAAUACUCAAGCGUUGCAAACGUAACUGCCAAUUUUGUUUUUUAAAAAUGAUGUGAAAAAAAUUAUUAGAGUAUAAUAAAAAGUUAAAGGUUAUAAUUGAUUGCUUUUUUUCUUUGAAAAAAGUAUGAUUGAGAAAGAAGAGUAUUUUGAUAGGUAUUUAUUCCUUAAUUAAAAAAAAAACUCACCAAAUUAUAAGUGUGAUUGAAAUAUAACAUUAUUUCAAACUAAUCAUAAUGAAAUUAUAAAAAAAACCAUCCAAGAACAAUGAAGGAAUAGAAAAAAAAGGUCGUCUUUUAGUUCAACUUUAAUUUAGAACAAAUAUAAAAUAUACCAUAAAACAAUUGGAUCAUCAUCGAUUUGCACUUAGACUAUCCAAACACCCUUGUUUAGAUCUUGAAAGAACAUCACAUAUAAUCACUCCAAAUGAUUUUUGAUCCCAUCGAACUUGAAAUAAUUAUAGCUCAAACUUUAUGAAAUUCCAAAGAAUGACAUGGGGACCAAAAUCAAAGCAUAAGGUGGAAAAGGAAAAGGAUAAGGAAGAACCUUAUAUUCUCUAGACUUGAACUCCAAGGAAUGUGGGAAUAAGGCAGGCGUUCAGCACCUAUACCAGGGAGGGGGGGGGGUAAAAAGUGGUGGAUAACAAGUUUUAGAAUUUGAGAUAUGCCGAUAUGUCACCCAAAAUCCGUUUAAUUUGGGACAAAAUUGGUCUGAAUUGAAAAUAAUAAUAAUAAUAAUUGAUUGACUCAGUGAUCGAUUUAAUCAAGAUCUGACUCGGUUACAGAUGACUAAAAAUUCAUUAAAUUGUUUUUAAUCUUUUUUUUUAUCAAAACAAUAUUAUUUUGAUUUUUUAAAAAAAUUAGAUCAAUUUGAAUUAAUUAUUCCGACUCGUAACACAGACUUGCCUUUGUUGUUUUAGGUCGAGUUUUAAAACUAUAAUAUAUAAGUUAUUAAGUUAUUGAGUUAAUCUUUAUCAGUUCAAUUUAAAUAAAUUAUUUUUUUUAAAAAUAAAACUUCCAAACCCAAUCUAAAUCUAGUCAAGUUUGAACCAAGCUAAUCAUGUAAUUAAAAACUUAAUCGAGUUAAUCAGAUUUGAUCUAGUUAAUGACUUUUUAGAUUCAACUUAAGGGUCAUGGUUUUCUAGUAACAACUAGCGGAGACCGGCCGGGUUUAACAUCUAUGAAAUAAUUAACUAUGCUAGUACAGGAAAACUAAUAAGAAACCACAGAUUUACUGCUCUUUGCUUCUAGCAAGUUUGGUUUUUUUUUUUUUUAUUUGUGUUGGGAGAUUCUAGUUUCUUUCCUUGCUGUCAUCUUUCUACUAAUUUUAUCUCCAGAGGAUCAAUAGCUGCAACUUGUAGAAGGCCGCCUUUUCUACCUUAUUUUUCUGCUCUUUAUCUUUAUACAGAUCGCCGAGAAUUAGCAGAACAAGCAAGGAUAUAGUUACUGUAUUGUUUACUAAGAACAUGAUCAAGUGUACUGUAAAAUUAAGUUGCAUCAAUCUGUAAUUAGAUGAUCAUAAUAAAUUGUCAAGCAUUCUGUUUAACAACGAUAAUAAAAAAAAUAGCUUGAUGUUUGUUUGCUUGGUACAUAUCGAUAUUUCACUCAUAAACAACGUUCUUCUUCAUGGGAUGCUCACACUACUCACACAGUACAGUUUCUUCUGUUAGCCCUUCUGCGUAAGUGAUAAGUAAUUUACUAUCAACUAUGAAAGAAUCAAGACAGAAAGGAAGAAGAGACAAAGUAGGAAGGAAGUUAUUUAUUUUCUGCAUAAUUCAAAACAACCUAUUGGCUAUAUUUUAUAGCCGACUAAACAUUGAACAAUAAACUACCUGCUUAAGAAUAGGAAAGCACUAACAAUACGAAACUAAUAAUAAGGAAUUACUCCUCCACUACGCUAGUUUCCAGCCAUGACCAGUAACUAACAAAGACUCCUUCCUCAUUCACCCCACGUUACAGUAACUAACAAAGACCCAUUCCUAUUCAUCCCACGUCCCUGCACCAUGCCUUUACCCACGUAGGAAUGAACAUAUCAAUUCCCCACCCUUAAGAUUCCUUGUCCGCAAGGAAUGCAGGAUAGGACUUAGCCAAUCGGCGUUCAUCUUCCCAAGUGGCAUCAUCAACGAGGGCCUGUCCAUUUAAUGAGAACUUCAACCUUUGGACGAUAUUGGCCUUUUUGGAUGACUCUGCGAUCCAGAACUGUCUCAGGUUGAGGCAGAAUAUUGGCUUCAUCAUUCACAGGAGGAAGCUGAGUAGAAAUUGUAGUGACAGGACCAACAUGUUUUUUUAACAUGCUAACAUGAAAGACGUUGUGAAUCAAAGACCCCAAAGGCAAAGCCAAACGAUAAGCUACUGGUCCAACUUUUUCUGUAAUUUGGUAAGGACCAAAAUAGCGGGGUGACAGCUUCAAAGAGCUGCGAAAUGCCACCGAAGUCUGUCGGUAAGGUUGCAGUUUUAGGUAGACAAAGUCGCCCACUUCAUAGUUAACCUCACGGCGCCGCUGAUCUGCUUGACAUUUCAUCCGCGCUUGAGCUAAUGAGAGAUUCUUUCUCAACUCACAGAGGAUGGCAUCUCGAUUACGCAAGUAUCCAUCCACAGCCUGUACGUUGGAAGUUCCAGGGACAUACAUCAAUAAGGUUGGAGGUGGAACUCCAUACACUGCCUCAAAAGGUGUCAUUUUGGUUGCUGAAUGGACUGAGGUGUUAUAGCUAAAUUCUGCCCAUGGAAUCCAGUCAAUCCAUUUGCGUGGUUGGUCCCCUGCAAAACACCGCAAGUACUGCUCCAAGACGCGAUUAAUCACCUCAGUCUGGCCGUCCGUUUGAGGGUGGUAGCUUGAACUCAUGCAUAACUUUGUGCCCUGAAGCCGAAACAGUGUGCGCCAAAAAGAACUAAUGAAUACUCUGUCCCGAUCACUAACUAUUGAAGCUGGAAUUCCAUGCAGCCGGACUAUGUGAGAAACGAAUGCUUGUGCAACCGUGGCAGCUGUAUAUGGAUGUUUCAUGGGAACAAAAUGUGCAUAUUUAGACAAACGAUCAACAACCACCAUAACCACCGUAUGCCACUGGAUGGUGGUAACCCCUCAAUGAAAUCCAUGGAUAUGUCAACCCAUAUCCUGUCAGGAAUUGAUAGAGGCUGAAGUAAUCCAGCAGGUCGCAUGGAAUCUGUCUUGUAUCGCUGACAAAUAUCACAGCUACGCAAAAAUUCUUUGACUGUGCCACGCAUUUGCGGCCAGGAGAAGCUUUGUUUGAGUCGGAUAAGGUUUUAUGAUAACCAAAAUGUCCCCGUAGGAGAAGCAUGACAUUCUGUAAUAAUCUUGCAGUAAAGAAGAAGUGGGACUCAAAUAAUGCUUACCCUUUUUGAACCAAACUCCAUCCGGUAUGAAAAUGCAGCAGUGGAGAUGUACUGUCAGCCAAAGGUGUAAAGAAUGGAUCAUGUGCCACUUCAUGUUGAAGCUUCUGCCACCAAUCAACAUGUGGAGUAGAGAUGGAAAGAAACUGACAUUCAGCUACCCGUGAAAGAGAAUCAGCUGCCUGGUUGUCAACUCCUUUCUUGUACUCGAUAAUUAGUCAUAUCCCAUAAUCUUCGGUAACCAACGAGUCUGAGCUGGUGUAGUAAUGCGCUGCUCCAACAAAUAUUUGAGACUUUGUUGGUCUGUGCGCACAAUGAAUGGUUUGCCGAGCAAGUAGGGUCUCCAUUUCUUAAUGGACUUCACAAUUGCUAACAUCUCUUUUUCAUAUGUAGAGAGAAUCAGUGUUGAACCUUUCAGAGCCUCACUAUAAUAAGCUAUGGGACGUUGUUUUGAGACAGCACAGCCCCUAGGCCAACUCCGCAAGCAUCACACUCAAUGACAAACGGCUGUGUAAAAUCUGGCAGAGCCAAAACAGGAGGAGAUGUUAAUGCUUGUUUCAAAUCGUUGAACGCCUUUUCUGCCAUAUCGUUCCAUUGAAACCAUCUUGGAUAACAACUGGUUGAGGGGAGCAGCAAUGGUACCAAAAUUCCGAAUAAAUUUUCGGUAGUACCCAGCUAGACCCAAAAAUCCGCGGACCCCUUUAAUGGUGGUUGGAGUAGGCCAUUCCAGAACUGCUACGAUUUUGGACGGAUCGACAGAAACCCCUUGUUCUGAUAUAACAUGGCCCAAAUAAUCCUGAAGUAACCCCAAACCUGCAUUUAGAUUCCUUUGCCAAUAAACUGUUAGUAGACAAGAUUGUCAAAACAGUGUGGAGGUGACUUAAAUGAUCCUCCCAAGAUUUUGAAUACACCAAAAUGUCGUCAAAGAAGACAAGAAUGAAUUUCCGUAAAUGAGAACGGAAGAUAUCAUUCAUAAGACCUUGGAAGGUUGCAGGUGCGUUAGUAAGUCCAAACGGCAUGACAACAAACUCGUAGUGGCCUUCAUGCGUCCUGAAUGCGUUUUAGGGAUGUCUCUUCUGUACCCUGAUUUGGUGAUAACCUGCUCGAAGAUCAAGCUUGGAAAAAAAUUUGGCUCCAUGUAAUUCGUCAAGAAGUUCAUCGAUGACUGGAAUAGGAUAUUUAUCCUUGAUGGUAAGAUCAUUUAGAGCUCGAUAGUCUAUGCAGAAACGCCAAUCCCCAUCUGCUUUCCUGACCAACAAGACCGGUGAAGAAAAUGGGCUAUGGCUGGGACGUAUGAACCCUGCGUGUAGUAGCUCCUUUACCAUCCGUUCAAUCUCAGACUUUUGAUAAUAUGGAUAUCUGUAAGGUCGUACACUGACUGGUUGGAUGUUGGGCUGCAGCAUAAUUUGGUGGUCAUGUAGUCGUUUAGGUGGUAAGGUUGUAGGAGGGUUGAAAACGUGAGAGAAAUUGGAUAAGAGUUGGGCUAUUUCAGAGGGGUGUGACUUUGGCUGGGUAGUAGAGCCUACUGGAAUGAUAGCAAAGAAUUGGCUAGAUACGUACAUAGUAUUGAACUCCUUCUCUGUCAACUCUUGUAGGCCGGAUUGUUUCAGCCCUUGGAACACACAUAAAUUUCCAUCUUUUUUGAAAGACAUUGUGAGUCUCUUAUAAUCGGUCUCCACCGGUCCCAGUGUCACCAGCCACUGCACCCCCAACACUACUGGACACGCUGCUACUGGAAGAAUAAAGUAAUCUGCUGUAACCAUUUGUCCCUGUAUCAAGAUGGUGAGUGAAGGACACAAUCCAGUGCAAUCUAUCUUCUCCCCGUUGGCUACUGUCACCUGGAAUUUUUUAUUAGGAAUCACAGGUAAUUCAUAUUUGUGGACUAUGGACUGAUCAAUGAAAUUGUGUGUGCUUCCACCAUCUAUCAAUACCAUGACUUCUUUGCUCCUCAAUCUUCCCAUCACCCGAAGGGUUUGGGGGUGAGCCGUACCUGUAAUUGCAUGGAAGGAAAUUUCAGGAAAGGCUUCCUGGUCCUCUGCCGCUGGUAGAAUCUCCGAUUGUUCCACAGACUCCUGAUCAUUUGAGUCAUAAAUCAUGAAUAAUUGGGGUCGUUGGCAGCGAUGACCCGGACUGAAUUUCUCAUCACAAUAGUAACAUAAACCUUUCUCUCGCCGUUCUCGUGCUUCCUGGGUGGAAAUACGUCUGGCAUUUGACGUGGAAUUCAUGCUCUGCCGCAGAUUUGGUGGAGGUCCAAGCACCCCGACAGUAUUACUCAUGCUUGGCUUUGUUGUAGCUGUAGUUGUUGAAUCCGGAAAGGGUGUGUUACCUUCUUUUGAAGUUGGUUUCGUUCUUCAAUCAACCUUGAGACACCGAUGGUAUCUGAUAGUGUGGUUGGGUGCUUAAUCUUGACAUCCAAGCGAAUAUCAUCUCUUAGACCUGCAAUGAAACAGCCGAUAAGGAAGGUUUCUGGAAGGCCAUCAACUUGAUGGGAGAGUUUUUCAAACUCUUCUUGAUAGGCUGCAAUGGUAGAAGUUUGUCGCAGUCUUGAAAGAGCUUCAGAGGGGUCUUCAAAAUCAGUUGGACCAAAACGUCGGAGAAGGGCCUUGGUGAAUUCUUCCCAUGUUAAUGGUCCCUGGAAUUUAGUCAUCCAUCGAUGCCAUUGUAAGGCUAUGCCCUCUAGGUGGAAGGAUGCAAGCGAUACUCGUUGAACAGGUGGAACAUUAUUGUACUCAAAAUACUGCUCAGAUUUGUAAAUCCACCCCAUAGGAUCUUCCCCGCUGAAUUUUGCAAAAUUCAAUUUUAGUGAAUGAUGGUUUCCUGAGUUGUGACUUGAUGAUUCAGCAGGAGCAAAUGGGUUAAACUUCGGAGGAUUCAUUCUUGGGCUCCUGGAGACGCGUAAGGCUUGUAACUCUGUCAGUAUCGUUUGUAAAGUGCCAUGCACCUGAUCGAAGUUGGCUUCGUGUCUAGCCAAAGGUUCAUUGACUUCACUGCGGAACUCCGCAUUAGAUUUUCCUCUGGUAUCCAUGUUGGAACCAGCUCUGAUACCAAUUGAUAAGUAAUUUACUAUCAACUAUGAAAGAAUCAAGACAGAAAGGAAGAAGAGACAAAGUAGGAAGGAAGUUAUUUAUUUUCUGCAUAAUUCAAAACAACCUAUUGGCUAUAUUUUAUAGCCGACUAAACAUUGAACAAUAAACUACCUGCUUAAGAAUAGGAAAGCACUAACAAUACGAAACUAAUAAUAAGGAAUUACUCCUCCCACUACGCUAGUUUCCAGCCAUGACCAGUAACUAACAAAGACUCCUUCCUCAUUCACCCCACGUUACUAGUAACUAACAAAGACCCAUUCCUCAUUCAUCCCACGUCCCUGCACCAUGCCUUUACCCACGUAGGAAUGAACGUAUCAGUAAGGAACAACUUUCGAAUGAUUUCAAGGCCCUAGAGGAGGAGGAGGAGGAGGAGGAGGAGGAGGUGGAUCAAUGGAAGCUCUAAGUGCUGACACGAAUCCUAACUUUGCCACAUUUUCUUCCCAUUCUGGAAACCUAUCCAACCAUUUUAUUGCUUCACUAGCUGAAAGUUUUACAAUGUCUGCCGUAUUCCCUCUUCCGAUUAUGGCCCACCCUCUAACUUCUUGCGGUAAGGAUGAUCAUAUGUUCUAUCAAGCAGCAGAAGCAAUCCCUCUCGUGGAAGGAGCUCUGCCUUGGAUACCAAAAGUAAAACUACCUUGCCCUUCAUUUCAGAUACACCUAGCUGUAAAUGAACUCAAAGAAAAUCGUAUCAGAUGCAAUGUUGUGGAUAGAACGAAAAUCAUAGGUUUUUUUUUUGAAAUCCAAGGAAGAAAAAAAACAUUAUUAUAGUGAAUAAUAUUUGCAAGGAGACAUACAGUAAAACCUCAUUCUCUUGUUGUUUUUUAUUUAUGAAAUUGAGAAAAAAUUAAUUAGAUAAAAAAAAAAUUCUAAUCAAUUUGUCAAAUUUACCAUUUAAAUCAUGAAACUAAGAUAACCUUAUAAAAAAUAAAUUAAAAAAAUUAUAAAAUUCAAUCCCAAAUAAAUUUAAUAUUAAAAAAUAAAAUUAAUUUUUUUAAAAAAUAUAAAAACAAAAAUAAAAUCCCCGUUUAUCUUUAGUUUUUUGGUGAAUUCAGAAUACAGGAAAGUCUUAAUAAAAAUAAAAUCCCCGUAAUAAUUUUUUAACUGGGAUAAAAUAACAAUUUCAUGUCAACUGAAAAAUAAAAUAAUUAAUUUUUUUUCUUUUAAUUUCUCAUUUCUUCACUUGAUUUUUUUUUAGUUUAAUAUUUUAUAAGUUGGACUUCAUAAGUUUACAAAAAUAUUCUCUUAUUUUUUAAUAUUUUUAUAUAAUUUUUUUAUGUUUUCCCCUUACUUUUCUCUCUUUCUUUUUUAUCUUUUUUUUUUUUUCCUGUUUUGCUACCUAGUCGGCAACAUAUAAAAAGAAAGAAGAAUUGAUUUAUUUUAUUUUUUAAUGGUAAAUAAUUUUUUUAUCUUUAAUGAGUCGUUUUGCUUUUAUUUAAAAGAUUUUAUUUUUGCGUUAGCAUUACAAAACUCUGUUUAUCCUAAAAUUUUAACCAUAUUUUAUUCAAUAUAUUUUAAGAUCCUUCAUAAAAUUUCAGCUCAAUCUGAUAGUGAAAUUGAAAAUUAUAUGUAAUAAUAUAAAACUGUUCAAAUAAUGAUUUUUUAUUAAAUUUUUAAAUUUCUCUAAAAUUUCUGAAAUUUUAAACUAAGUUUAAACAUAGACUAUACCUAAAUUUUUAAAAAUUUUAAAUAACUCAAUUAUAAAUUAUUUUUUUAUAUAAAACCAAUAAAAAAAUCUUGAUAAAAUCUUCAACUAACCCACCCUAACCUUUGCAUUGCCUCCGCCCUUGUUACCACUGUUAAUGUGAUGUUUUUGUAUUAAAAAGAUUGGAAAAUACAAUAAAGCCCUUGGUGGUUUAAAGAGAGGGUAUAAAUGAUUGAGGGUUAGUGUGGUAAUUGAACAAUAGUUGAUAAAUAUAAAUAAGAAGAAGAAAAAAAAAAACAAGAAUGAUCUGAUUUUGAGAGAAAGAGAGCUACGGGAGAGAGGGAAAGAGGAAGAAGAAGAAAAGAAAGGAGAGAAGGAAAGGAAGGAGAAGAGAAGUAGAGGAAAUAAGUAAAAAGGUAAGAUUUAUGGUUUGAAGUGUAUAAUAUGUUGAAUUUCGGUUUUGAUUAAUUGUAGAGUUUUGAAGUUUGUAUUUUGAGUUAAUUGAUGAAUUAAUUUGAAGGUUAGGAGUUGAUUAUUGUGGGUAUUUGAUUAAUUAGUUGAUUUUGAGAGAUUGAAUUGAAGGAUAAUGAUUUUGAGUUAUGAUUUUGUUUAAAUGGUGAAAUUUUGUUAGAAAUCAGGGGAUAACAGUAGGUGAUCUGUUGAAAUUCUGGGUUUGAGGUUGAAGAUGACGAAAAUUCAGUUUGGGCCCUCAAUUUACGGAAAUUGCAGUUUAGUCCCCGAACUUUGGAAAUUUUACAGAUUGGCCCCUGGGGCAUAAAUUGAGGUUCUGAACAGAACUGAGGAUGAUUUAAGGACAAAAUUCCAGUAUAAUUAAUAUUUUCAGUUUGGUCCUCCAAUUUGACAAAAAGUAUAAUUUGACCCUAAAAAUUUGGUAAAGUUCCAGAAUGGUCCUUGGAGCAUAAUGAUAUAUCCUGGACAGAAUUGAGGAUUAAUUAUGAUCAGAAUUUCAGUAUGGUUAUAUAUUUACAAUUCGGUCCUCAAAUUUUGGUAAAAUUACGUUUUGGUCCCUGUUUUGGAAAAUUGUCGUUUUAGUCCCUAAACUUGGGAGAUUAAGCCCGAUUUUAUUUUAUGCAUUGAGAUCUUUUUUUUUUUGAUUUGUUUUUGAGUAUAUUUCAUAUAUUUAUUGUAGGUUCUCCUAACGAUCCUUAAUCAGAUUUUUGGGUCUUUCGUCUGACAUUCCUUUAGUUCAGUAUUUUUCGGGUGAGUGGAAUAAUCUUUAAUAUGCAUAUAAUAUAAAUAUAUAUGUAUGUUGAUUAUACAAUGAGUACAAGUAGUAAAUUUCUUGAAUAUUUAUAUAUGUUGCUUUAUUUUCCAAGUACUCAUUUAUUCUUAAAUUUGCACUCGCAAUCUGUCAAAGUAAAUUCUAUUUGAUAUGAUAUAUGUUUCUUUGAUGAUUAUGUGAAUAUCUGUUAUGCAUUGAUAUGCGACUUGUCAGUAACUCUAUUCUGUAUACCUAGCUGGUGAGAGAGGCAUCAGCCUGUGGCGAUUGAUCAUCCCACAGUGGUGUCCGACGGGUGUCAUCUGGUCAACUUCGGGUGUCAUCUGAUCUCUGACAUGUAAUCCACUACGUUAUGAUAAUAUGUUACGUUAUGAUAAUAUGUUUAGUAAGUAUAUGUAUAUGUAUAUUAAGAUAAAUCAUCUUAUAAAUUAUUAAUAUCUGAAAUGUAUAUUAAAUGUUAUUCCUUCACUGAGUUGGUUGAACUCACCUCUCAUUUUUAAUAUUAUUUCAGGUUCUUAGUUUCUGGGACUUUGUUGAGUGUUCCCGCUUCUUCAGUUCUGGUCGGUAUGCCUUGCUUGUUCGCGAGGCUUUCCUUUCAGUUUUGAUUUGAUGUCUUAAACGUUCCACUGUUACCUUGGUUUAAUUAAAUUUGGAUUUUGACAAUUUAAUGAGUAUUAUGAAUUAUUAUUUUUGUUUUAAUAACUAUCUUUCAGUUUCAUCAGUAUUUGAAUAAUAUAAUAUUUCUAAAUAUUAUGAGCCGCUGCGUAUUUUUGAACAAAUUGUUCUUUUGAUAUGUCCGUUCUGAGGCUUAGCGUAGGUGAGGUGUCCUUUCGACACCGCUCCUACGUUGCCGGUCACGGAUCCGAGAUUCGGGUCGUGACAGUUAAACAGCAUGGUGCUUUGUUUCCAGCACCGUGUUACCUGUCUCUUGUUUUCUACUGUUUAUUAUAAUUUUAUGGUGAUGAAAUUGAUCGAUGCCGGCCUGUAAACAAAUCUUCCUUCUGCGAAAUAAACAAUGUAUUCGAAUAAGGAGCAGGGACAGAGAGUUCAAAGAUCGAAAGAUUAAUUCAAGUCUUCAUGAACUUUCAUGGGGACUACGAGAUUAAAAAUGCCCCUCGCAACAAGAAGUCUGAAUCAGUUAAUUACUGGAUGUUAUUAAGGGUUUGACUUUUGAGUAUUGAUUCAAAUCCCUAAAGUUUUAAGGCGUUAUGUUCUAAAUCAAAUCCUUGUCAUCGAGGCCUAAGAUAUGCUCUGAUUUCUAGGAGGUUUUCCGAUGAGUGAACAUUGCCAAGGAAAUGGACAUGUAGAAACUAGAAAUGGUACUGCAAACAACACCUUUCAUUAACAAUAAGCAACAUAUUAAAAUACAAAUAACAUGCAGUAGUAGAAAAGCCUCGACAUAUUCCACACCAGAGCUGAUGUGCAUCAUCACAGAUAGUAGCGGCAGCGACGGUGGCCGUGUCUGCCUUGGUUUUUAUUGAAAUAGAUAGUGAUUUAAAACGUAAAUAGCAUACCGUAUUCCUGGUAAUAAAGCUCAAUCGGUACAGCAACGAUACAUGAUGAACUUCUCCAUGGGACGGCCGCAUUCAGCACAAAGAACCCUCUCUUGUACACCGUCCUUCAAUAUCGCAACGAUAGAUGAUGAACUUCUCCCUGUAGCCCCUGGCAGUAUCAGACGGUAGCAGUGGAGUGGGCUAUGGAGUUCAUGGAGGUAAUCAAUCAGUGCAGGCAGAAAACCCUUCUCCUGUACACCGUCCUUCCAUAUCUCAAAGUCAACUAAAGAUUUCAGUAUGGUUUCUCCGUUUGCCUUGGCCAUAUCAGCAGGUCCCCUGCUGAUCAAAGCCCACCCUUGAUCACUUCCAUCGAAGCUGAGCACUGUCAUUAUCUCCUGCAUGAUGACGUCAGUCUCUACAGUCCUCUUGUGUUGCACCUUGGAAUGCCACAUGCUCUCCAGCCUAACCCAAAAGAACCAGAUCAAAGUGAGGUCUGGCAAUACAUUGCUAAGUUUCUCGGUCGUAAUGGUAGAGUUGUUUUUCCUAACUUUCUCCCUGGGGUUGCUCUUCCCUACGUAGAGCAUUUCUAACGUUAUAGCGGCCUUGCUCGCAACUUCUUUUGCAGUAACGGUGAAUUUACGGAUCCACUCAAUGUCCUCCCCACCAUACAAGCAUAUGUACUUCCCUUGCUCUAUCUGCAAUAACAAUUAAUUGUGUUAAAUCCAUGAAUAAUGCGCGUAUGAAAUUCCUCUGCACCAGUCGGGUUGUUGUCGGGUUUACAAAUUAGUUUCAAGUUGGGAAAUUUGAAUCCCUCUGCUGAGAAAUUGCAAGUAGUAGAUGAUGUCGAUAGAAUGUUGAGAUAAAGACUGCAUUUUAGUUUGAUUAUUGUAUAUGCAUGCAAGAGAGGAAAGCUAUACCCAAGACAAGAUCAUUGGAUCAAUGCUAUCUGCCAAUAGCUCGAUUUCCAGGUUUCUUCUUUCCAGAGUGCUUCCUCCCUCAAGCUGGUGAAAGGGAAAGCCAGGCUUCCCCAAAUCCACAUCAUGUGGAUUGCAUUGGGGUUGACUACUCUCCCUUGUGGAUCCAAAACCACAAGCAAGGGCCUCUUGUUGAAGUGCCACACCUCUUUGAUGUACCUGAUGACUGCAACAUCGAGCAAUGAAGGGUGAUAGACAGAGUACCAUGGCAUCAUCCUCUGAAAAUCCUCAAACUGCUUUUGCUUUGUUUCAUUCCAUGAUCUGUCCACAACUGGGAGCCAUACAACCUCAUACUGGCUCUCUGGUCUUCCUGGUUGCUCCCGCGCCUCACUGUACAUUUGUUGCAGCAUUGAAAGCUC
rnacentral:lncRNA from 1 species